CAAUAGCGUAUAUUAAAGUUGUUGCAGUUAGAACGCUCGUAGUCGGAUUUCGGGGCGGGGCGACCGGUCUGCCGAUGGGUACGCACUGGUCGGCGCGUCCUUCCUUCCGGAGACCGUGCCUACUCUUAACUGAGCGGGGGCGGGAGACGGAACGUUUACUUUGAAAAAAUCAGAGUGUUUCAAGCAGGCAGCUCGCUCUUGCAUGGAUUAGCAUGGGAUAAUGAAAUAGGACUUUGGUGCUAUUUUGUUGGUUUCGAACACCGAAGUAAUGAUGAGAAGGGACAGUCAGGGGCACUCGUAUUCCGCCGAGAGAGGUGAAAUUCUCAGACCAGCGGAAGACGAACCACUGCGAAAGCAUUUGCCAGGGAUGUUUUCACUG
rnacentral:rRNA from 1 species